CCCUUAGAUGUUCUGGGCCGCACGCGUGCUACACUGACCGGUGCAACAAGUUUCUUUCCUUGGCUCGAUAGGCCCGGGCAAUCUUUGAACGCUGAUCGUGAUGGGGAUAGACUUUUGCAAUUUUUGGUCUUCAACGAGGAAUUCCUAGUAAACGCAAGUCAUCAACUUGCAUUGAUUACGUCCCUGCCCUUUGUACACACCGCCCGUCGCACCUACCGAUUGAAUGGUCCGGUGAAGCCUCCGGAUUGGCGUGCACCCUCGGGUGCUGCCGAGAAGUUGGCUAAACCUUACCAUUUAGAGGAAGGUGAAGUCGUAACA
rnacentral:rRNA from 1 species